rnacentral:rRNA from 1 species
UAACGCGUGGGAAUCUGCCCUGGAGUGUGGGAUAACCCGGCGAAAGCCGGGCUAAUACCGCAUACGACCUGAGGGUGAAAGAUUUAUCGCUCUAGGAGGGGCCCGCGUCGGAUUAGCUAGUUGGUGAGGUAAGAGCUCACCAAGGCGACGAUCCGUAGCUGGUCUGAGAGGAUGAUCAGCCACACUGGGACUGAGACACGGCCCAGACUCCUACGGGAGGCAGCAGUGGGGAAUAUUGGACAAUGGGCGAAAGCCUGAUCCAGCAAUGCCGCGUGAGUGAUGAAGGCCUUAGGGUUGU